GAUGAAGAACGUAGCGAAAUGCGAUAAGUAAUGCGAAUUGCAGAAUUCCAGUGAGUCAUCGAAUCUUUGAACGCACAUUGCGCCCUUUGGUAUUCCGAAGGGCAUGUCUGUUCGAGCGUCAUUAUCACCCCUCAAGCCCUCGGCUUGGUGUUGGACGGUUUGGUGGAGGCCCCCUCGGGGGUUCCUGCCCCUCCCAAAGACAAUGACGGCGGCCUCGUUGGACCCCCGGUACACUGAGUUCUUCACGGGACACGUAUCGGACACAUGGGUUUACGGGACACGGUCUGCCUCCCCUCAGGGAGAAUCUUUCUAAGGUUGACCUCGGAUCAGGUAGGGAUACCCGCUGAACUUAAGCAUAUCAAUAAGCGGAGGA
rnacentral:misc_RNA from 1 species